GACGAACGCUGGCGGCGUGCUUAACACAUGCAAGUCGAACGGAAAGGCCCUGCUUUUGUGGGGUUCUCGAGUGGCGAACGGGUGAGUAACACGUGAGUAACCUGCCCUUGACUUUGGGAUAACUUCAGGAAACUGGGGCUAAUACCGGAUAGGAGCUCCUGCUGCAUGGUGGGGGUUGGAAAGUUUCGGCGGUUGGGGAUGGACUCGCGGCUUAUCAGCUUGUUGGUGGGGUAGUGGCUUACCAAGGCUUUGACGGGUAGCCGGCCUGAGAGGGUGACCGGCCACAUUGGGACUGAGAGACGGCCCAGACUCCUACGGGAGGCAGCAGUGGGGAAUAUUGCACAAUGGGCGGAAGCCUGAUGCAGCAACGCCGCGUGCGGGAUGACGGCCUUCGGGUUGUAAACCGCUUUCGCCUGUGACGAAGCGUGAGUGACGGUAAUGGGUAAAGAAGCACCGGCUAACUACGUG
rnacentral:rRNA from 1 species